CACCACCGAUCGCUACUAUCGAGUGAAUGAUUUGGUAAAGUCAUUGGAUUGAUGUGGUUCUACUGGCUUUUCCUCUCAAUUAAUACUGAGUAAGAUGACCUAAUUUGACAAAUUAGAGAAAGUAAAAGUCAUAACAAAGUUUCUGUAAAUUAACUCGCGGAAG
rnacentral:ncRNA from 1 species